GAAUACCAAUUAGCACUUCAUUAUUAGUGUCUCUGUAUGUGUUAAGGGAUAUCAAUGGUUUAAGAAAUAAAAGGAAUUAAAACUAUGAAAGGGUAAAAUAGGUUUUACAAUGCUUAAUGAGUGUAAAAAAGUAAAUUGACAUUGACACCCUAUAAAUAGGCCUAAGCAAGUGUGAGAAUCAGAUUUUUCCACUUCCUCUUCCUCUUCUCAUCACACGCAUUACAAGCUUCCACAUCAUGAAGAUUGGGAAAUUGAAGAUUGAGCAAGCUAGGAGCAAGGAAGGUUAAUUGGAUCAACAUUCUAAAAACAAAGGUAUAAGCCGUUUUGGAGUCCAUUUGAGCUGGAUCAUAGUGUCAAGUCUUAGGAUCUUAGUGUAUUUUAAAUUCUUUUCCUUUUUAAGUCCUAUAAUGGAAUUUCAUGUUAUUUCUGUCAUGUAGAGUAUUUUAUCAGAGGAUUUCAAUUUUAAAAACCUUGGUCGUUACACUUUCUCACAAACAAAACCCUAAUUCCGUAAUCUCACCUCUCUCGGUUCUGUCAGUUUCCACUUCCUCUUUCAUUUCUCUCCAUGAAGGAAUUUUUUUUUUACAUUUCCCCAACAAAAUAUGUAGAGGAAUGUUUUGCUGAAGCUUCUCGUUAGGUGAUCUCACAAUGUCUCUUCCCGUUCUUCUUCCUGAUCUCAGUGUGGAAAUCAUAUCAUGGCUUCCGUUGAAGCCCGUCGUGAGAUUCAAAUGUGUUUCUAAACACUACCAAUCAAUCAUUUCCGACCCAAAAUUUGCAAAACUUCACCUUCAAAGAUCACCUAAAAAUCCACACACCCUACUUACCUUACGUGAUGUCGAUGAUGACGAUGAAGAAAUUUGGGUCGUAGCUCCAUACAUAGUGCGUCAUUUAAUCGAACACCCAUCGUCUGUUGUUGAAGAAGACGAGUGUCGUCGUUUUAACGACAACAAUGAUUAUUAUACAAUAGGCUCUAUCAAUGGCUUGGUCUGUUUGAUCAGUAAAAAGGAAAAAAAAACAUGGAAACACAAAAAUUUGUACUCAGUUCUGGAACCCUACUUUACGUUUAAGAUCCAAAGAUUCACCAAAUUUGAGUAUCAUGCCUCCUAAGAAAGUAAAGCUGGACCAGGUAAACCUUGGAUUCGGCUAUGAUGAUUUUACUUAUACAUACAAGGUGGUGGUUGUGUUUUGGGAUUGUACAACACAGAAAUGGGAGGGGAGGGUUCAUUGCAUGGGAGAUAGUUGUUGGAGAAAGACUAUUGCUUGCCCUGAUUUUCCAAUUCUACUUGGAGGCACUCUCGUUGGACAAUUCGUGAAUGGUAGUGUUAAUUGGUUAGCACGUCACAACAUAAAUUGUCAUAUGUAUAAAUGGAAAAAUGUUACCAUCAACCAAUUAGUGAUUUUAUCGUUUGAUAUGCGGAUGGAGGCGUGUAAGUAUAUGAUGUUACCUGAUGGUUUUGUUGUACCCAAAGAUGAACCAACUCUUGUUGUUUUGAGGGAUCGUCUGUGCCUUUAUUAUGUCCACAUGAGAACCCAUCUUGUUUUGUGAGAAAUGAGAGAGUUUGGAGUUCAAGAGUCUUGGACUCGAUUGGUGAAUGUUAGCUAUGUUCAAUUGGGUAUUUGUGUGAAUCUCAAUUUAGUUGAUUGGUUGUUUCCGGUUUGUCUCUCUGAAAAUGGAAAUGUCAUGUUGCUGGCUAGCAAAGGAGCUUUUGAUGAUAUUAGUAUGUAUAAUAGGAGAGAUGAUAGAGCUGAACAUAUUGAACUUCUUGACAACCAAAUUUGGUAUGCUGAUGAACAUAUGAAGAGCUUGGUUUUUCCCCGUCCUCUUCCACAUUAAGCUUCUAUGCAACAAUUGUUUGUAUUUUGAAUUUAUGUUAGGUCGUGCAAGUAGUGUGAUGACUAUUAAUGGUUCCUUAAUUGUGUUUUCAAUAGAUAGUUUAACUAUUUUGUUGGAUGAUUCCUUUGUACUUAUUGCUAGCUUAGAAUCAAAUCCUUUGGAUGAAGAUAUUUUAAUUUUAUACUAGUUAUUAUGAGUUAAUUUAUAUUCCUCCACUUGCUAUUGA